rnacentral:rRNA from 1 species
CAAUAGCGUAUAUUAAAGUUGUUGCGGUAAAAAAGCUCGUAGUUGGAUUUCUACCGAAGAUAGCCGGUCGGGUCUUCGACCUUGUAUCUGGUUUUGUCUUUGGUAUCCUCAUAGGGAACGUUUUUGCGCUUUAUUGCGUGGUGCGGUAUCUAUGACUUUUACUUUGAGGAAAUUAGAGUGUUCACGGCAGGCAAACGCCUUGAAUAUAUUAGCAUGGAAUAAUAACAUAGGAUCUUCGUCCUAUUUUGUUGGUUUCUAGGGCUAAGAUAAUGAUUAAUAGGGAUAAUUGGGGGCAUCUGUAUCAACGCGUCAGAGGUGGAAUUCUUGGAUUGCGUUGCGACAAACUACUGCGAAAGCAUUUGCCAAGGAUGUUUUCAUUGA